rnacentral:misc_RNA from 1 species
AAGUCGUAACAAGGUUUCCGUAGGUGAACCUGCGGAAGGAUCAUUACCACACCCUUUCGGAUUGGGGAGAGAAGUAACAAGCUCUCUCCUUUCCAAAACCGACCCGCGUACCAAUAAAACUUUUUUCCCUGUGGAAGUGUGUUUGGCUUUUCUGUAAUGGGAAGGUCAAAUCACUUUCAUAGGUUUCAGACCAUUGUCUAUUCCUUUUGGAAUAAAAAAAAACUAUUUGAUAACGAACUUAUGAAAACUUUUAUUCGAAAGAAUAAUUAAACCAACACUUUCAGCAACGGAUGUCUUGGCUCCC